rnacentral:rRNA from 1 species
CACGUAGGGGGCAAGCGUUGUCCGGAUUUAUUGGGCGUAAAGAGCUCGUAGGCGGCUUGGUAAGUCAGGUGUGAAACCCCCGGGCUCAACCCGGGGACGCCACCUGAUACUGCUAUGGCUUGAGUCCGGUAGGGGAGCGUGGAAUUCCUGGUGUAGCGGUGAAAUGCGCAGAUAUCAGGAGGAACACCAAUGGCGAAGGCAGCUCGCUGGGACGGUACUGACGCUGAGACGCGAAAGCGUGGGGAGCAAACAGG